GCGGGGAGGCUCACGGCCGCGCCCUUGCUCAGAGCAGGGGUGAGGAAAGUCCGGGCACCGCAGGGCAGGAUGCCAGCUAACGGCUGGUCGGCGAGUCAAGCGCCCCUCCGAGCGCCACGGCGGGGGGGAGGCGGCGAAGCCGAAGGACAGUGCCACAGAAACCAGACCGCCAUCUCCAGACAGCCCCGGCGCGGGCGGGGAUGGUCAGGGUGAAACGGUGCGGUAAGAGCGCACCAGGCCUCCGGGAGACCGGAAGCGCUGGUAAACCCCAUCCGGUGCAAGACCCGACAGCGCGGGAGGAACGGCCCGUUCCGAUGAUCGCCAGGAUGGUCGCUUGAGGCGCACGGCGACGUGCGUCCCAGAGAGAUGGCCGUGCCCCACCCCCGGGUGGGAGACAGAACCCGGCUUACCGCCUCCCCGCUCCA
rnacentral:RNase_P_RNA from 1 species